GAUAACUCUGGUGAAGGAACUCGGCAAAAUGACACCGUAACUUCGGGAGAAGGUGUGCCCUUAUUAUGUGAAGGCCCUGCGGCCGGAGCAGAAAAGGGUUGCAAAAACCAGGUGGUCGCGACUGUUUACUAAAAACACAGCACUCUGCAAACUCGUAAGAGGACGUAUAGGGUGUGACGCCUGCCCGGUGCUGGAAGGUUAAUUGAUGGGGUCAGCCGCAAGGCGAAGCUCUUGAUCGAAGCCCCAGUAAACGGCGGCCGUAACGAUAACGGUCCUAAGGUAGCGAAAUUCCUUGUCGGGUAAGUUCCGACCUGCACGAAUGGCGUAACGAUGGCCACACUGUCUCCACCAGGGACUCAGUGAAAUUGAAAUUGCGGUUAAGAUGCCGUAUACCCGCGGCUAGACGGAAAGACCCCGUGCACCUUUACUAUAGCUUUACACUGGACUUUGAAUAUAUCUGUGUAGGAUAGCUGGGAGGCUUUGAAGCGUUAACGCCAGUUAGCGUGGAGCCAACCUUGAAAUACCAGCCUGGUCUGUUUGAGGUUCUAACCUAGGUCCGUAAUCCGGAUCGGGGACAGUGUAUGGUGGGUAGUCUGACUGGGGCGGUCUCCUCCAAAAGAGUAACGGAGGAGCGCGAAGGUACCCUCAGCGCGGUCGGAAAUCGCGCGUUGCGUGCAAAGGCACAAGGGUGCUUGACUGCGAGGCAGACACGUCGAGCAGGUACGAAAGUAGGUCUUAGUGAUCCGGUGGUUCUGAAUGGAAGGGCCAUCGCUCAACGGAUAAAAGGUACGCCGGGGAUAACAGGCUGAUACCACCCAAGAGUUCAUAUCGACGGUGGUGUUUGGCACCUCGAUGUCGGCUCAUCUCAUCCUGGGGCUGAAGCCGGUCCCAAGGGUAUGGCUGUUCGCCAUUUAAAGAGGUACGCGAGCUGGGUUUAGAACGUCGUGAGACAGUUCGGUCCCUAUCUGCCGUGGGCGUUGGAGAUUUGAGAGGAGCUGCUCCUAGUACGAGAGGACCGGAGUGGACGUACCUCUGGUAUUCCGGUUGUCACGCCAGUGGCAUUGCCGGGUAGCUAUGUACGGACGGGAUAACCGCUGAAAGCAUCUAAGCGGGAAGCCUCCCUCAAGAUGAGAUCUCCCUGGAACUUUAAGUUCCCUGAAGGGCCCUCGUAGACUACGAGGUUGAUAGGCUGGGUGUGGAAGUGCAGUGAUGCACGUAGCUAACCAGUACUAAUUGCCCGUGAGGCUUGACC
rnacentral:rRNA from 1 species